UACGUAGGGACCAAGCGUUGUUCGGAUUUACUGGGCGUAAAGGGCGCGUAGGCGGCGUGUUAAGUCACUUGUGAAAUCUCUAAGCUUAACUUAGAACGGGCAAGUGAUACUGAUGUGCUAGAGUGCAGAAGGGGCAACCGGAAUUCUUGGUGUAGCGGUGAAAUGCGUAGAUAUCAAGAGGAACACCUGAGGUGAAGACGGGUUGCUGGGCUGACACUGACGCUGAUGCGCGAAAGCUAGGGUAGCAAACGGG
rnacentral:rRNA from 1 species